rnacentral:rRNA from 1 species
UACGUAGGGGGCGAGCGUUGUCCGGAAUUACUGGGCGUAAAGGGCGUGUAGGCGGCCUGAUAAGUCAGAUGUGAAAUCCCAAGGCUUAACCGUGGGUUUGCAUUUGAAACUGUCGGGCUUGAGGGCAGGAGAGGAAAGCGGAAUUCCCAGUGUAGCGGUGUAAUGCGUAGAUAUUGGGAGGAACACCAGUGGCGAAGGCGGCUUUCUGGACUGCACCUGACGCUGAGGCGCGAAAGCUAGGGGAGCGAACGGGAUUAGAUACCCCGGUAGUCCUAGCCGUAAACGAUGGGUACUAGGUGUGGGAGGUAUCGACCCCUUCCGUGCCGCAGUUAACGCAAUAAGUACCCCGCCUGGGGAGUACGGCUGCAAGGCUGAA